UAUAAUGUUUUGAUUCUUCGUCUUAUUUAAAAUUUUUCGUGAUUAAUAUUUUUAUUUUUACUAGAUGAUAAAAUAUGAAUAAUGCUUUAUGCGUGACUAAUUUUUUAAAGUUUUUUAUAAAUUUUUCAAAUAAGACAAAUGAUUAAACCGAUGUUAAACACGGAAAAAC
rnacentral:pre_miRNA from 1 species